CCGAAAAUAGCUCAGCGGUAGAGCGGGAGACUGUAGUUUCAGAAGUACAUCCGUGUAGUAAUCUCUAGGUCCCUGGUUCAAAUCCGGGUUUUCGGA